GACGAACGCUGGCGGCGUGCUUAACACAUGCAAGUCGAACGGAAAGGCCUCUUUCGGGGGGUACUCGAGUGGCGAACGGGUGAGUAACACGUGAGUAACCUGCCCUUGACUUUGGGAUAACUUCAGGAAGCUGGGGCUAAUACCGGAUAGGAGCUCCUGCUGCAUGGUGGGGGUUGGAAAGUUUCGGCGGUUGGGGAUGGACUCGCGGCUUAUCAGCUUGUUGGUGGGGUAGUGGCUUACCAAGGCUUUGACGGGUAGCCGGCCUGAGAGGGUGACCGGCCACAUUGGGACUGAGAUACGGCCCAGACUCCUACGGGAGGCAGCAGGGGGGAAUAUUGCACAAUGGGUGGAAGCCUGAUGCAGCAACGCCGUGGGCGGGAUGACGGCCUUCGGGUUGUAAACCGCUUUCGCUCAUGACGAAGCUUUGUGUGACGGUAGUGGGUAAAGAAGCACCGGCUAACUACGUG
rnacentral:rRNA from 1 species